rnacentral:lncRNA from 1 species
GAACUCCUAAUGUGUGUGAUCUCGCAGGUUCGAAUCUAAGCCAGUAGCAAAGGAACCAAUUCCUGUACUAAUCGAAGUAACUAUCUAGCAAUGGUACCCGACGUUCGGAUAGGUCGAAUAGUUGCAAUAGCAACAUUCAAAACCUACGCGAAUAUGGUUACUAUAUAAUUCAUCCCUUUUGACCUCUGUGCAUAGGACAACUCAGGGUUAAACUAUCAACCC